GACGAACGCUGGCGGCGUGCUUAACACAUGCAAGUCGAGCGGUAAGGCCCUUUCGGGGGUACACGAGCGGCGAACGGGUGAGUAACACGUGGGUGACCUGCCCUCAGCUCUGGGAUAAGCCUGGGAAACCGGGUCUAAUACCGGAUAUGACUCCAUGACGCAUGUUGUGGGGUGGAAAGCCUUGUGCGGCUGAGGAUGGGCCCGCGGCCUAUCAGCUUGUUGGUGGGGUGAUGGCCUACCAAGGCGACGACGGGUAGCCGGCCUGAGAGGGCGACCGGCCACACUGGGACUGAGACACGGCCCAGACUCCUACGGGAGGCAGCAGUGGGGAAUCUUGCGCAAUGGGCGAAAGCCUGACGCAGCGACGCCACGUGAGGGAUGACGGCCUCGG
rnacentral:rRNA from 1 species